rnacentral:misc_RNA from 1 species
AAAUGCAGAAAAUACUUUCCUUCCAUAAAACAAACGAGCCUUAGACCAAAAUGCUGCUGAAGAAUCUUAUAAAAUCUAUCACUCUUCAAUAAAGCCAUCUUCAUAUUAACAUGACUACAUAGCAGUCAAUGAGACUCUAAAUAUAAUGGAACUAAAAUAAACAUACAAGUUUAAAAAUGUGACACUACAUGUGUGAUAGCAACAAAA